rnacentral:sRNA from 1 species
UCGAGCCGUAUGAGUUAGAAACUCUCAAGUACGGUUCUAAGGGAAGCAUUUACUCGCCUAUUCCGAC